AGAAAGGGAAUAUGCCGUUCUGGACCAUAAAGAACAGCUGGGGAAGCAAUUGGGGAGAGCAGGGAUACUUCCGCAUCUACAGAGGAGAGGAGGCUUGCGGAUUGAACAAGCUCCCCCUCACCGCUAUCGUCUAGUCGGGGGGUGUCUGAGGCGGGUCGCAGGCAGCCCUGGGCGAUUCGAGGUGACCAGGCGUCAGGAGGAAGACCUCCGCUUCUCGCAGCUUAGCACGGCGUUUCUGUACAAGUGGGACCCCCUCCCCUCCCCUCCCCUGCCCGUUCACCCCCUCACCUCCUCUCCCCAGUUCCAUUCCAGUGGUGGCCCCCAGUCACUCGCAGAGCUCACAGCGCCCCCCGCUCCCCCCGACUAACGCACCCACAGCCCACACCGCUCCCAUCAGCGGUCCCAUCCCAGUGGGGACCACCCGGUGCUGUCAGGAGACCACCCCAGCUAAUCGGAGCCCCCGGGAUGAACCUCACCAAUCAGAGACCCCAGGGCUGUGUGAGGGGGACCGGACGGCAGCAACUGCUUCAAUGGAAUGGAUUCCCCUUGGGAGAGGAGUGUCCCAUUGGAAUUCCGGCUGGGAGGAAGGGAUGGGUUCAAGGCAACACUUCCCAUUGGCUCCCAGCUGGAAUGGUUUCCACCGGGACUGGGUGGACUCCCUGCAACAUCCGUUGUUGGCCAGCGGAUGAUCCACUGGAAUGGUUUUCCCUGGGGAAGAGAUGGGUCCAUUUUCCUGGUGUUUUCCGACGUGAUUUGACCGCGGUUGAACCAGUUCUGCGUCUCGGGCUUUUGCAUUGACACAAUAAAGCAGCUCAAGCAUC